rnacentral:rRNA from 1 species
CACGGAGGCCCCGAGCGUUGUUCGGAAUUACUGGGCGUAAAGAGUGCGUAGGCGGCGAGGCAAGUCAGAUGUGAAAGCCCGGGGCUCAACCCCGGAACUGCAUCCGAUACUGCCUUGCUUGAGGGUUGGAGAGGAGACUGGAAUUCACGGUGUAGCAGUGAAAUGCGUGGAUAUCGUGAGGAAGACCAAUGGCGAAGGCAGGUCUCUGGACAACUCCUGACGCUGAGGCACGAAGGCCAGGGGAGCGAAA